rnacentral:rRNA from 1 species
UUCGGUGUGGAAGUGCAGUAAUGCAUGGAGCUGACGAAUACUAAUCGGUCGAGGACUUAUCCACA